GAGAGAGAGCUUGCUUUCUCGAGCGAGUGGCGAACGGGUGAGUAACGCGUGAGGAACCUGCCUCAAAGAGGGGGACAACAGUUGGAAACGACUGCUAAUACCGCAUAAGCCCACGACCCGGCAUCGGGUUGAGGGAAAAGGAGCAAUCCGCUUUGAGAUGGCCUCGCGUCCGAUUAGCUAGUUGGUGAGGUAAUGGCCCACCAAGGCAACGAUCGGUAGCCGGACUGAGAGGUUGAACGGCCACAUUGGGACUGAGACACGGCCCAGACUCCUACGGGAGGCAGCAGUGGGGAAUAUUGCACAAUGGGGGAAACCCUGAUGCAGCGACGCCGCGUGGAGGAAGAAGGUCUUCGGAUUGUAAACUCCUGUUGUUGAGGAAGAUAAUGACGGUACUCAACAAGGAAGUGACGGCUAACUACGUGCCAGCAGCCGCGGUAAAACGUAGGUCACAAGCGUUGUCCGGAAUUACUGGGUGUAAAGGGAGCGCAGGCGGGCAGACAAGUUGGAAGUGAAAUCCAUGGGCUCAACCCAUGAACUGCUUUCAAAACUGUAUGUCUUGAGUAGUGCAGAGGUAGGCGGAAUUCCCGGUGUAGCGGUGGAAUGCGUAGAUAUCGGGAGGAACACCAGUGGCGAAGGCGGCCUACUGGGCACCAACUGACGCUGAGGCUCGAAAGUGUGGGUAGCAAACAGGAUUAGAUACCCUGGUAGUCCACACCGUAAACGAUGAUUGCUAGGUGUGGGGGGUCUGACCCCCUCCGUGC
rnacentral:rRNA from 1 species